rnacentral:tRNA from 3 species
GGAGGAGUCGCAUAGUGGCUAUUGCAACAGUCUUGAAAACUGUAACCCUUUACAGGGUUCGUGGGUUCGAGUCCCACCUCCUCCG